GAUGAACGCUGGCGGCGUGCCUAAUACAUGCAAGUCGAGCGAACAGAUGAGGAGCUUGCUCCUCUGACGUUAGCGGCGGACGGGUGAGUAACACGUGGAUAACCUACCUAUAAGACUGGGAUAACUUCGGGAAACCGGAGCUAAUACCGGAUAAUAUAUUGAACCGCAUGGUUCAAUAGUGAAAGACGGUUUUGCUGUCUCUUAUAGAUGGAUCCGCGCCGCAUUAGCUAGUUGGUAAGGUAACGGCUUACCAAGGCAACGAUGCGUAGCCGACCUGAGAGGGUGAUCGGCCACACUGGAACUGAGACACGGUCCAGACUCCUACGGGAGGCAGCAGUAGGGAAUCUUCCGCAAUGGGCGAAAGCUUGACGGAGCAACGCCGCGUGAGUGAUGAAGGUCUUCGGAUCGUAAAACUCUGUUAUUAGGGAAGAACAAAUGUGUAAGUAACUAUGCACGUCUUGACGGUACCUAAUCAGAAAGCCACGGCUAACUACGUG
rnacentral:rRNA from 1 species